UCUUUCUUCCUUUUUUUCUUGGAUGGAUGUGGAAGGUUUAAGGUUUAGUUGUUGUUCUUUAGUGUGAAGAGAAACAACAUUUAGGUAAUUGAUUUGUAAAGUGUGCAUGGAUGUUGAAAUUUGAUAGUGAUGAAAUUUUUUUUUACUGUUUUUUCGUGUAAUAUAUACAAGUUGAAGUCUCCUCCUGGUGUGUAGAAAUUGAGUCAAUUUAUA
rnacentral:lncRNA from 1 species